UUCAAUUUCCACCAGUGAUUUUUGAAAUUUUUUUUCCUUAUUUUUUGUUUUUUUUUUUUUUAUAUUAGCGUUUUGUUCUUCAAUUGCUCAAAGCAGCGCUUUCUACACGUUGCUCUUCAAUUGAUUUUGGCAUAGACUUCCAGUGGAUUAGUUCAUUGUUGCUUCUAGCUCUCUGCGAAUAAGCAAUUGUGUAACAAAAUAUUUUACAAAACGAGCAAGGAAAUGAUAUUGAAGGAAGUGCACAUAUUGAGAACAAUUUGUAUUUUAAGUUUGAGGGAGUAAAUUAGUUAGUAACUAUAUUUGCUUGUUUGAGAGAUUUAAAAAAAAAUAAAAAUUGAAAGAUUUGAAAUAUAUAGCUUUACCGAUUAUUUGAAAACUUUUGUGUUUCAUCAAUUGUGAAUAAGUUACACAAUAUUUUUGCUAAUUCGAUAUUUGUUUA